rfam:Lachnospiraceae bacterium 3-2 genomic scaffold acPFJ-supercont1.3, whole genome shotgun sequence.
GGGCUUGUACUGGUUUCGACGGGGGUUCGGAAGUUGGAGAAGCCAUCCGUAGCGGGACACUACGAUAAAAGUUCCAAUUAAAUAUAAACGCAGACAAUAGAGAAUUAGCGUACGCUGCCUAAUUAAAGGCGGCAGUCGGCCUUAGGUCAUCCGCUGCUUAAGUCACCGGCUUCAUUUAGGCGGAGCACUUCGCUUCCAAAGCUUUGAGGGAGUGGAAGAAUUGAUGAAGCUACUAAAAUCAGCAGCCUGUCAUUAGGCGGCUGACGGAGGGAAUGUCAGUAUAAUGACUGUGAUGGGAGAUGCUUCGAUGGAUGGGCUUUCGGACGCGGGUUCGAUUCCCGCCAGGUCCACUU